rfam:Vibrio metschnikovii CIP 69.14 VIB.Contig147, whole genome shotgun sequence.
AUUCCUACUGUUAUUGCCUGCAAGAUAAUUCAUAUAAUGAUAGGCAGUAA